CCUAUGUGACGUUCGAGGACAUCAGUCGACUUGGAGUCUUCCGGGAUCAGACGGCCAUCAUUGUCAAAGCUCCCGAGGACACUAAGAUGGACGUUCCUGCUCCCACAGAGGAGAGCGUUGAACUCCGUCUGAAGGCAGUGAAAGGUCCCAUCUUGGUGAUAACCUGUGAGGUUGGCUCGGACGACGCUGUGACCUCUGACCCCAUGCAGAGUAUUACCUCGUUUUUAACUCUGAACGAAAGCCGCAUCAGGACGACGGCGCUGCACGAAAGGUCACUCACUGACCUGGAGAGCUCAUGAACACCAGCUGACCUCCAGGGGGCGCCGGCGUGUUGCUGCAUGUGUCUGAUAAAUGCACACGGGGAGAACAUGAGGAGGUAUCUGCUGACGGUGGCUCACUUUAACUCACGCUCGAUGAUGUGACGACAUGACAGCAGCAAGCUCCUCCUACCAGAGGAAACAGUCUGAGCACAGGAAAGGAAAAAAAACAGUUUUCAUCUGGACCAAUGAAACGGCUUUAACCUGCUGAGCUCAGUUUGAUGCACAGUGCCUGUAUUUCACUGUUUGUCUUUCUGUCCUUUGCUUUGUGUUUUUAAUGUAUAAAUGUUUACUUCUUCAUCUCACAAAUACCUCAAAUAUACUUGGACCAAUAAAGUUUUACUUUAAAGUUGUGAAUCACUUCCUGUUUUCAUUCAUGAGAAAAAAGCUCCAACAAUUGUUGAGCAGCUGAAUGUCUGAAUG